rnacentral:rRNA from 1 species
CACGUAGGGUGCGAGCGUUGUCCGGAAUUAUUGGGCGUAAAGAGCUCGUAGGCGGUUUUGUCGCGUCUGCUGUGAAAACCUAAGGCUCAACCUUGGGCUUGCAGUGGGUACGGGCAGACUAGAGUGCGGUAGGGGUGACUGGAAUUCCUGGUGUAGCGGUGGAAUGCGCAGAUAUCAGGAGGAACACCGAUGGCGAAGGCAGGUCUCUGGGCAUUAACUGACGCUGAGGAGCGAAAGCAUGGGGAGCGAACAGG